CACGUAGGGUGCGAGCGUUGUCCGGAAUUAUUGGGCGUAAAGAGCUCGUAGGCGGUUUGUCGCGUCUGCUGUGAAAACUGGAGGCUCAACCUCCAGCCUGCAGUGGGUACGGGCAGACUAGAGUGCGGUAGGGGGAGAUUGGAAUUCCUGGUGUAGCGGUGGAAUGCGCAGAUAUCAGGAGGAACACCGAUGGCGAAGGCAGAUCUCUGGGCCGUAACUGACGCUGAGGGAGCGAAAGCAUGGGGGAGCGAACAGG
rnacentral:rRNA from 1 species